rnacentral:rRNA from 1 species
GAUCAUGGCUCAGAUUGAACGCUGGCGGCAUGCUUUACACAUGCAAGUCGAACGGUAACAGGUCUUCGGAUGCUGACGAGUGGCGGAACGGGUGAGUAAUGCAUCGGAACGUGCCCAUCGGUGGGGGAUAACGCAGCGAAAGCUGCGCUAAUACCGCAUACGAUCUAUGGAUGAAAGGCGGGGGACCGUAAGGCCUCGCGCGAUUGGAGCGGCCGAUGUCAGAUUAGGUAGUUGGUGGGGUAAAGGCUCACCAAGCCAACGAUCUGUAGCUGGUCUGAGAGGACGACCAGCCACACUGGAACUGAGACACGGUCCAGACUCCUACGGGAGGCAGCAGUGGGGAAUUUUGGACAAUGGGCGCAAGCCUGAUCCAGCAAUGCCGCGUGCAGGAAGAAGGCCUUCGGGUUGUAAACUGCUUUUGUACGGAACGAAACGGUCUGGGUUAAUACCCUGGGCUAAUGACGGUACCGUAAGAAUAAGCACCGGCUAACUACGUG